GCCAAACGGCGAAUUGCUGGCUUUGUGAUGCCUUGGAUAUUAUCGCGAAGGACCUUGCGGUGACGCUUGGCUCCUCCCUUUCCUAGCCCCUUGCCUCCCUUGCCGCGCCCAGACAUUUUUGUUCACAGGCAGGAUCUGAUUCGUAGAAAUUUGAGAAGAAGAGAGGAUGAGAGACUGCUUUUCUCGGUGGGAAAACCAGAAAAUGUUAAC
rnacentral:misc_RNA from 1 species